GACGAACGCUGGCGGCGUGCCUAAUACAUGCAAGUUGAGCGCUGAAGGUUGGUACUUGUACCAACUGGAUGAGCAGCGAACGGGUGAGUAACGCGUGGGGAAUCUGCCUUUGAGCGGGGGACAACAUUUGGAAACGAAUGCUAAUACCGCAUAAAAACUUUAAACACAAGUUUUAAGUUUGAAAGAUGCAAUUGCAUCACUCAAAGAUGAUCCCGCGUUGUAUUAGCUAGUUGGUGAGGUAAAGGCUCACCAAGGCGAUGAUACAUAGCCGACCUGAGAGGGUGAUCGGCCACAUUGGGACUGAGACACGGCCCAAACUCCUACGGGAGGCAGCAGUAGGGAAUCUUCGGCAAUGGACGAAAGUCUGACCGAGCAACGCCGCGGGAAUGAAGAAGGUUUUCGGAUCGUAAAACUCUGUUGGUAGAGAAGAACGUUGGUGAGAGUGGAAAGCUCAUCAAGUGACGGUAACUACCCAGAAAGGGACGGCUAACUACGUG
rnacentral:rRNA from 1 species